rnacentral:sRNA from 2 species
CUAUAUGGAUCGCUGAGUCCGAUUUUAUAUCGGAGCGGGGGAACCAACCGUGGCAAGUGUGCCACAUGGGGUGAAUCCAGUUCGGGGCGUUUGUUCUGAACUGGUAGGGUGACUCUCAUCACCCGAAUCCGUCAGCUAACCUCGUAAGCGUGUUGAGAGAGGGGGG